GAUGAAGAACGCAGCGAAAUGCGAUAAGUAAUGUGAAUUGCAGAAUUCAGUGAAUCAUCGAAUCUUUGAACGCACAUUGCGCCCUCUGGUAUUCCGGAGGGCAUGCCUGUUCGAGCGUCAUUUCACCACUCAAGCCUGGCUUGGUAAUGGGCGCCGCGGUGUUCCGCGCGCCUCAAAGUCUCCGGCUGAGCUGUCCGUCUCCAAGCGUUGUGAUUUCAUUAAUCGCUUCGGAGUGCGGGCGGCCGCGGCCGUUAAAUCUUUCACAAGGUUGACCUCGGAUCAGGUAGGGAUACCCGCUGAACUUAAGCAUAUCAAUAAGCGGAGGA
rnacentral:misc_RNA from 1 species